GAUGAACGCUAGCGGCAGGCUUAAUACAUGCAAGUCGAGGGGUAGCAAGAUUGUAGCAAUACAAUUGUUGACGACCGGCAAACGGGUGCGGAACACGUACACAACCUUCCUACAAGUGGGGAAUAGCCCAGAGAAAUUUGGAUUAAUACCCCGUAACAUAGCGAUGUGGCAUCACAUUGCUAUUAUAGCUUCGGCGCUUGUUGAUGGGUGUGCGGCUGAUUAGAUAGUUGGCGGGGUAACGGCCCACCAAGUCUACGAUCAGUAGCUGAUGUGAGCGAAUGAUCAGCCACACGGGCACUGAGACACGGGCCCGACUCCUACGGGAGGCAGCAGUAAGGAAUAUUGGACAAUGGACGCAAGUCUGAUCCAGCCAUGCCGCGUGAAGGAUUAAGGUCCUCUGGAUUGUAAACUUCUUUUAUAAGGGACGAAAAAAGGUCUUUCUAGAUCGUCUGACGGUACCUUAUGAAUAAGCACCGGCUAACUCCGUGCCAGCCGCCGCCGUAAGAC
rnacentral:rRNA from 1 species